AUUGAACGCUGGCGGCAUGCCUUACACAUGCAAGUCGAACGGUAACAGGUCUUCGGAUGCUGACGAGUGGCGAACGGGUGAGUAAUACAUCGGAACGUGCCUAGUAGUGGGGGAUAACUACUCGAAAGAGUGGCUAAUACCGCAUGAGAUCUACGGAUGAAAGCAGGGGAUCGCAAGACCUUGUGCUACUAGAGCGGCCGAUGGCAGAUUAGGUAGUUGGUGGGAUAAAAGCUUACCAAGCCGACGAUCUGUAGCUGGUCUGAGAGGACGAUCAGCCACACUGGGACUGGGACACGGCCCAGCCUCCUACGGGAGGCAGCAGUGGGGAAUUUUGGACAAUGGGCGCAAGCUUGAUCCAGCAAUGCCGCGUGCAGGAUGAAGGCCUUCGGGUUGUAAACUGCUUUUGUACGGAACGAAAAGCCCUGGGUUAAUACCCUGGGGUCAUGACGGUACCGUAAGAAUAAGCACCGGCUAACUACGUGCCAGCCGCCGCCGUAAAAC
rnacentral:rRNA from 1 species